rnacentral:rRNA from 1 species
GUGCAGCAGGCGAGAAUCCUUCGCAAUGCGGGAAACCGCGACGAGGGGACUCCCAGUGCCUACGCUCAGCGUAGGCUGUUCCCGAGCCUAGAAAGCUCGGGGAGUAAGGGCUGGGUAAGACGGGUGCCAGCCGCCGCGGUAACUACCCGCAGCCCGAGUGGUGGCCACUAGUUAUUGGGCCUAAAGCGUCCGUAGCCGGCCCGGUAAAUGCCUGGGGUAAAUCGUGAGGCCUAACCUCACGGAAUUCCGGGGUAGACUGCCGGGGCUAGGGACCGGAGGAGGGAGAGGGGUACUCCAGGGGUAGGGGUGAAAUCCUGUAAUCCCUGGAGGACCACCGGUGGCGAAGGCGCUCUCCUAGGACGGGUCCGACGGUGAGGGACGAAAGCCAGGGGA